AGUAGGCAGGGAACACAAACUAAAUGGGAUUCUUUUAGUAAUGGCGAAUGACCAAGGAUGUGAUUAUGUUGUCAAGCAGGCCUUGGUCCUGCAUUGCACAGUGAUGGUGAAAUGCCAGCAGAAAGGUGUAUGUGAUUUUCUGGGUGGUCCAGCAUAGUAGGUGAAACUCCUUCUGUGGAUGCAUCGAUUUCUGCAUAGAGCAUGCACCUCUGAGUCGUGCUUCUUGGGACUGAAGUGCAAAUGUGAUGGUAAGGCUCAUCUAAAUCUCAAUAUUGACUUGAGGCCAAUAGUAAAUAAGUACCAUGAGGGAACUGUGAAAAGAACUUUGAGAAGAGAGUUAAAAGUCCUUGAAACUGCUGUGGGUGAAAGCAAAUGGGAGUUUGAGAAGUAGCAAGGUUGCUGUGUCAUUGAAUGUCAACCCUGCUAUGAGCUUAGUACUGCGGGGUCUCUGGCACCUUUGUCACUGUGUUCCUUGCUCUGUCUGCUUACACUCUGCCUUUGCACAUGUGCGAAUUGUUGGGGAUUGCUAGUGUUAUGCUGCAAGCUGAUGUGCAGACAUGGCAAAUGGCUGAAUGUAUCGAUGCAAAUCAGCAGCUGCACUGUAUCUC
rnacentral:rRNA from 1 species